rnacentral:rRNA from 1 species
CGGUAGGCCUAACACAUGCAAGUCGAACGGCAGCACAGGAGAGCUUGCUCUCUGGGUGGCGAGUGGCGGACGGGUGAGGAAUACAUCGGAAUCUACCUUUUCGUGGGGGAUAACGUAGGGAAACUUACGCUAAUACCGCAUACGACCUACGGGUGAAAGUGGGGGACCGCAAGGCCUCACGCGAUUAGAUGAGCCGAUGUCCGAUUAGCUAGUUGGCGGGGUAAUGGCCCACCAAGGCGACGAUCGGUAGCUGGUCUGAGAGGAUGAUCAGCCACACUGGAACUGAGACACGGUCCAGACUCCUACGGGAGGCAGCAGUGGGGAAUAUUGGACAAUGGGCGCAAGCCUGAUCCAGCCAUACCGCGUGGGUGAAGAAGGCCUUCGGGUUGUAAAGCCCUUUUGUUGGGAAAGAAAUCCURUCGRUUAAUAACCGGUGGGGAUGACGGUACCCAAAGAAUAAGCACCGGCUAACUUCGUGCCAGCAGCCGCGGUAAUACAGC